rnacentral:rRNA from 1 species
UACGAAGGGGGCUAGCGUUGCUCGGAAUUACUGGGCGUAAAGGGCGCGUAGGCGGACAGUUUAGUCAGAGGUGAAAGCCCAGGGCUCAACCUUGGAAUUGCCUUUGAUACUGGCUGUCUUGAGUUCGGGAGAGGUGAGUGGAAUGCCGAGUGUAGAGGUGAAAUUCGUAGAUAUUCGGCGGAACACCAGUGGCGAAGGCGACUCACUGGCCCGAUACUGACGCUGAGGCACGAAAGCGUGGGGAGCAAACAGG